rnacentral:rRNA from 1 species
GGAUAGGGGUGAAAGGCCAAUCAAACCCGGAGAUAUCUCGUUCUCCCCGAAAUAGCUUUAGGGCUAGCGUCGCGCGUUCACCGCCGGAGGUAGAGCACCGGAUGGACGAGGGGGCUUCGCCGCCUACCGAAUCCAACCGAACUCCGAAUGCCGGCGGCCCAGAGCGCGGCAGUCAGAGCAUGUGGGCUAAGCUGUGUGCUCGAGAGGGAAACAGCCCGGACCGCCCGCUAAGGUCCCCAAGUUCCAGCCGAGUGGCAAAGGAUGUGCGUCCGCCCAGACAACCAGGAUGUUGGCUUAGAAGCAGCCAUCCAUUCAAAGAGUGCGUAACAGCUCACUGGUCGAGUGGACAUGCGCCGACAAUACACGGGGCUAAGCUGGACACCGAAGCGGCGGGAUUUUAAUUCAUUAGAAUCGGUAGGGGAGCUUCCCAUGGGCGGAGAAGCCGGAGGGCGACCGACGGUGGAGCGCAUGGGAGUGAGAAUGCUGGCAUGAGUAGCGAGAGACGAGAGAGUAACUCGUCCGCCGUGAACCCGAGGUUUCCUGGGCAAGGCUAAUCCUCCCAGGGUCAGUCGGGGGCUAAGGCGAGGCCGGUAGGCGUAGCCGACGCGCAGCAGGCAGACAUUCCUGCACCGCGCACGCGGCGCUACGACCGACGGGGCGACGGAUGGGGGUGGCUCGGCGGGGUUCUGGACGUCCCCGUGAUGGAGCGCGGCCCGCGGACCAGGGAAAUCCGGUCCGCAUUGAGGGCGAGGCUCCGGACGAAGCGAUUGAGCGAAGCGAGUGAGCCCGAGGUCCCUAGAAAAACCCCUAGGCAGGCGCGUGCGCGCCCGUACCGCAAACCGACACAGGUGGGUGGGUAGAACAUACCGAGGCGAUCGGGUCAACCAUGGUCAAGGAACUCGGCACAAUGGCCCCGUAACUUCGGGAGAAGGGGUGCCCGCGCGUACGUGAACCGGCUUGCCCGGGGAGCGGAGGCGGGCCGCAGUGGAGAGGCCCAAGCGACUGUUUACCAAAAACACAGGACUCUGCAGAAGCCGCAAGGCGACGUAUAGGGUCUGACGCCUGCCCGGUGCCGGAAGGUCACGCGGAGGAGUUAGCCGUUAAGGCGAAGCCCCGAAGCCAAGCCCCGGUAAACGGCGGCCGUAACUAUAACGGUCCUAAGGUAGCGAAAUUCCUUGUCGGGUAAGUUCCGACCUGCACGAAAGGCGCAACGACUUGGGCGCUGUCUCGACCAUGGACCCGGUGAAAUUGCACUGGUCGUGAAGAUGCGACUUACCCGCGGAAGGACGGAAAGACCCCGUGAACCUUCACUGCAGCUUGGCAUUGGCCGCUGGUCCCGCGUGUAGAGGAUAGGCAGGAGGCACAGAUCCGGAGGCGCCAGCCCCCGGGGAGCCGCCCUUGGAAUACUGCCCUCGCGCGACCGGCGUCCUAACCCGAGGCCGUCAACCGGCUCGGGGACCGUGCCAGGCGGGCAGUUUGACUGGGGCGGUCGCCUCCUAAAGGGUAACGGAGGCGCGCGAAGGUCCGCUCGGGACGGUCGGCAACCGUCCUUUUGAAUGCAAGAGUACAAGCGGGCUUGACUGCGAGGCCCACAAGCCGAGCAGGUGCGAAAGCAGGCUCUAGUGAUCCGGCGGCCCCGAGUGGGUGGGCCGUCGCUCAACGGAUAAAAGGUACUCCGGGGAUAACAGGCUGAUCUUGCCCAAGAGUCCACAUCGACGGCAAGGUUUGGCACCUCGAUGUCGGCUCAUCGCAUCCUGGGGCUGGAGCAGGUCCCAAGGGUACGGCUGUUCGCCGUUUAAAGCGGUACGCGAGCUGGGUUCAGAACGUCGUGAGACAGUUCGGUCCCUAUCCUCCG